GAGACAGCAGCAGCCACGGUAAUACAGAGGGUGCGAGCGUUAAUCGGAUUUACUGGGCGUAAAGCGUGCGUAGGCGGCUUCUUAAGUCGGAUGUGAAAUCCCUGAGCUUAACUUAGGAAUUGCAUUCGAUACUGGGAAGCUAGAGUAUGGGAGAGGAUGGUAGAAUUCCAGGUGUAGCGGUGAAAUGCGUAGAGAUCUGGAGGAAUACCGAUGGCGAAGGCAGCCAUCUGGCCUAAUACUGACGCUGAGGUACGAAAGCAUGGGGAGCAAACAGGAUUAGAGACCCGCGUAGUCCCUGUCUCUUAUAA
rnacentral:rRNA from 1 species